rnacentral:rRNA from 1 species
GACGAACGCUGGCGGCGUGCCUAAUACAUGCAAGUCGAGCGAAGAAUUUCUGGUGCUUGCACUAGAAAUUCUUAGCGGCGAACGGGUGAGUAACACGUAAAGAACCUGCCUUAUAGACUGGGAUAACUACGGGAAACUGUAGCUAAUACCGGAUAACAACAUUUUCCGCAUGGGAGAUGUUUAAAAGUUGGUGAAGCUAACACUAUAAGAUGGCUUUGCGGAGCAUUAGCUAGUUGGUGGGAUAAAAGCCUACCAAGGCGACGAUGCAUAGCCGACCUGAGAGGGUGAACGGCCACAUUGGGACUGAGACACGGCCCAAACUCCUACGGGAGGCAGCAGUAGGGAAUCUUCCGCAAUGGACGAAAGUCUGACGGAGCAACGCCGCGUGAGUGAAGAAGGAUUUCGGUUCGUAAAGCUCUGUUGUUAGGGAAGAAAGGUUGUGUAGUAACUAUACACAAAACAGACGGUACCUAACCAGAAAGCCACGGCUAACUACGUGCCAGCAGCCGCGGUAAUACGUAGGUGGCAAGCGUUGUCCGGAAUUAUUGGGCGUAAAGCGCGCGCAGGUGGUUUAGAAAGUCUGAUGUGAAAGCCCACGGCUCAACCGUGGAAGGUCAUUGGAAACUGAUAAACUUGAGUGCAGGAGAGAAAAGUGGAAUUCCUAGUGUAGCGGUGAAAUGCGUAGAGAUUAGGAGGAACACCAGUGGCGAAGGCGGCUUUUUGGCCUGCAACUGACACUGAGGCGCGAAAGCGUGGGGAGCAAACAGG